UCCUGGCUGGCUCAUUGAGGAGAGCGUGUGACUCUUGAUCUCGAGGUUGUGAGUUCAAGCCCCAUGUUGGGUG
rfam:Ailuropoda melanoleuca scaffold33_137, whole genome shotgun sequence.